GCCUACGGGGCGUAGCAGUGGGGAAUAUUGCGCAAUGGGCGAAAGCCUGACGCAGCGACGCCGCGUGAGGGAUGAAGGUCUUCGGAUCGUAAACCUCUGUCAGCAGGGAAGAACGGUCACUGUGCUAAUCAGCAGUGAAUUGACGGUACCUGCAGAGGAAGCACCGGCUAACUCCGUGCCAGCAGCCGCGGUAAUACGGAGGGUGCGAGCGUUAAUCGGAAUUACUGGGCGUAAAGCGCUCGUAGGCGGUAUGUCAAGUCAAGGGUGAAAUCCCCGCGCUCAACGUGGGAACUGCCUUUGAAACG
rnacentral:rRNA from 1 species